CCGCGUCCGAUUAGCUAGUUGGUGGGGUAAAGGCCUACCAAGGCUGCGAUCGGUAGCUGGUCUGAGAGGAUGAUCAGCCACACUGGGACUGAGACACGGCCCAGACUCCUACGGGAGGCAGCAGUGGGGAAUAUUGGACAAUGGGCGCAAGCCUGAUCCAGCCAUGCCGCGUGAGCGAUGAAGGCCUUAGGGUUGUAAAGCUCUUUCACCGGUGACGAUGAUGACGGUAGCCGGAGAAGAAGCCCCGGCUAACUCCGUGCCAGCAGCCGCGGUAAUACGGAGG
rnacentral:rRNA from 1 species